GACGAACGCUGGCGGCGUGCCUAAUACAUGCAAGUAGAACGCUGAAGGAGGAGCUUGCUUCUCUGGAUGAGUUGCGCACGGGUGAGUAACGCGUAGGUAACCUGCCUGGUAGCGGGGGAUAACUAUUGGAAACGAUAGCUAAUACCGCAUAAGAGUAGAUGUUGCAUGACAUUUGCUUAAAAGGUGCAAUUGCAUCACUACCAGAUGGACCUGCGUUGUAUUAGCUAGUUGGUGAGGUAACGGCUCACCAAGGCGACGAUACAUAGCCGACCUGAGAGGGUGAUCCGCCACACUGGGACUGAGACACGGCCCAGAAUCCUACGGGAGGCAGCAGUAGGGAAUCCUCGGCAAUGGACGGAAGUCUGACCGAGCAACGCCGCGUGAGUGAAGAAGGUUUUCGGAUCGUAAAGCUCUGUUGGAAGAGAAGAACGAGUGUGGGAGUGGAAAGUUCACACUGUGACGGUAUCUUACCAGAAAGGGACGGCUAACUACGUG
rnacentral:rRNA from 1 species